UAAGGAAUAUUGCGCAAUGGGCGAAAGCCUGACGCAGCGACGCCGCGUGGGGGAUGAAGGUCUUCGGAUUGUAAACCCCUUUCGGGAGGGAAGAUGGGAUGGGGUAACCCAUUCGGACGGUACCUCCAGAAGCAGCCACGGCUAACUUCGUGCCAGCAGCCGCGGUAAUACGAAGGUGGCAAGCGUUGUUCGGAUUUACUGGGCGUACAGGGAGCGUAGGCGGUUGGAUAAGCCCUCCGUGAAAUCUCCAGGCUUAACCUGGAAAGUGCAGAGGGGACUGUUCAGCUAGAGGAUGGGAGAGGAGCGCGGAAUUCCCGGUGUAGCGGUGAAAUGCGUAGAGAUCGGGAGGAAGGCCGGUGGCGAAGGCGGCGCUCUGGAACAUUUCUGACGCUGAGGCUCGAAAGCGUGGGGAGCAAACAG
rnacentral:rRNA from 1 species